rnacentral:rRNA from 1 species
AUUGAACGCUGGCGGCAUGCCUUACACAUGCAAGUCGAACGGCAGCAUGAUCUAGCUUGCUAGAUUGAUGGCGAGUGGCGAACGGGUGAGUAAUACAUCGGAACGUGCCCUGUAGUGGGGGAUAACUAGUCGAAAGAUUAGCUAAUACCGCAUACGACCUGAGGGUGAAAGUGGGGGACCGCAAGGCCUCAUGCUAUAGGAGCGGCCGAUGUCUGAUUAGCUAGUUGGUGAGGUAAAGGCUCACCAAGGCAACGAUCAGUAGCUGGUCUGAGAGGACGAUCAGCCACACUGGGACUGAGACACGGCCCAGACUCCUACGGGAGGCAGCAGUGGGGAAUUUUGGACAAUGGGCGAAAGCCUGAUCCAGCAAUGCCGCGUGUGUGAAGAAGGCCUUCGGGUUGUAAAGCACUUUUGUCCGGAAAGAAAUGGCUCUGGUUAAUACCUGGGGUCGAUGACGGUACCGGAAGAAUAAGGACCGGCUAACUACGUG